GGAUUAGAUACCCUGGUAGUCCACGCCGUAAACGAUGUCUACUAGCUGUCUGUGCCUUAGAGCGUGGGUAGCGAAGCUAACGCGAUAAGUAGACCGCCUGGGGAGUACGGCCGCAAGGUUAAAACUCAAAUGAAUUGACGGGGGCCCGCACAAGCGGUGGAGCAUGUGGUUUAAUUCGAUGCAACGCGAAGAACCUUACCAUCCCUUGACAUCCAGAGAAUUUUCUAGAGAUAGAUUAGUGCCUUCGGGAACUCUGAGACAGGUGCUGCAUGGCUGUCGUCAGCUCGUGCCG
rnacentral:rRNA from 1 species